rnacentral:rRNA from 1 species
CGCCAUCAGAGAGUUUGAUCCUGGCUCAGAACGAACGCUGGCGGCAGGCCUAACACAUGCAAGUCGAGCGCACCUUCGGGUGAGCGGCGGACGGGGUUAGUAACGCGUGGGAACGUACCCUUUUCUAAGGAAUAGCCACUGGAAACGGUGAGUAAUACCUUAUACGCCCUUCGGGGGAAAGAUUUAUCGGAGAAGGAUCGGCCCGCGCUUAGAUUAGAUAGUUGGUGGGGUAACGGCCUACCAAGUCUACGAUCUAUAGCUGGUUUUAGAGGAUGAUCAGCAACACUGGGACUGAGACACGGCCCAGACUCCUACGGGAGGCAGCAGUGGGGAAUCUUGGACAAUGGGCGCAAGCCUGAUCCAGCCAUGCCGCGUGAGUGAUGAAGGCCUUAGGGUCGUAAAGCUCUUUCGCUGGGGAUGAUAAUGACAGUACCCAGUAAAGAAACCCCGGCUAACUCCGUG